rnacentral:rRNA from 1 species
CCUACGGGAGGCUGCAGUGGGGAAUAUUGGACAAUGGGGGCAACCCUGAUCCAGCCAUGCCGCGUGUGUGAAGAAGGCCCUCGGGUUGUAAAGCACUUUCAGUGAGGAAGAACGCCUGGUGGUUAAUACCCAUCAGGAAAGACAUCACUCACAGAAGAAGCACCGGCUGACUCCGUGCCAGCAGCCGCGGUAAUACGGAGGGUGCGAGCGUUAAUCGGAAUUACUGGGCGUAAAGCGCGCGUAGGUGGCUUGAUAAGCCGGUUGUGAAAGCCCCGGGCUCAACCUGGGAACGGCAUCCGGAACUGUCAAGCUAGAGUGCAGGAGAGGAAGGUAGAAUUCCCGGUGUAGCGGUGAAAUGCGUAGAGAUCGGGAGGAAUACCAGUGGCGAAGGCGGCCUUCUGGACUGACACUGACACUGAGGUGCGAAAGCGUGGGUAGCAAACAGGAUUAGAUACCCUGGUAGUC